rnacentral:miRNA from 1 species
UAGUGGAAAUUUGGUUUUUUC